CCUACGGGAGGCAGCAGUGGGGAGUUUUGGACAAUGGGGGCAACCCUGAUCCAGCAAUGCCGCGUGAGUGAAGAAGGCCUUCGGGUUGUAAAGCUCUUUUGUCAGGGAAGAAACGGUUCUGGCUAAUAUCUGGAACUAAUGACGGUACCUGAAGAAUAAGCACCGGCUAACUACGUGCCAGCAGCCGCGGUAAUACGUAGGGUGCAAGCGUUAAUCGGAAUUACUGGGCGUAAAGCGUGCGCAGGCGGUUUUGUAAGACAGAUGUGAAAUGCCCGGGCUUAACCUGGGAACUGCAUUUGUGACUGCAAGGCUAGAGUGUGUCAGAGGGGGGUAGAAUUCCACGUGUAGCAGUGAAAUGCGUAGAUAUGUGGAGGAAUACCGAUGGCGAAGGCAGCCCCCUGGGAUAACACUGACGCUCAUGCACGAAAGCGUGGGGAGCAAACAGGAUUAGAUACCCUGGUAGUCCACGCCCUAAACGAUGUCUACUAGUUGUCGGGUCUUAAUUGACUUGGUAACGCAGCUAACGCGUGAAGUAGACCGCCUGGGGAGUACGGUCGCAAGAUUAAAACUCAAAGGAAUAGACGG
rnacentral:rRNA from 1 species